rnacentral:rRNA from 1 species
AGUGAACGUUGGCGGCGUGGAUUAGGCAUGCAAGUCGAGCGAGAACCGUAGCAAUACGGGGACAGCGGCGAAAGGGACAGUAAUGUGUAGGUACCUACCCCGAGGUCUGGGAUAGCUGCGGGAAACUGCAGGUAAUACCGGAUAAUGUCUUCGGACCAAAGGUGUGAUUCCACCUUGGGAGGGGCCUGCAUCCUAUUAGCUUGUUGGCGGGGUAACGGCCCACCAAGGCGACGAUGGGUAGAGGGUGUGAGAGCACGACCCGCGUCAUUGGGGCUGAGACACUGCCCAGACACCUACGGGUGGCUCCAGUCGAGGUGUGUCGGCAAUGGGCGCAAGCCUGACCGAGCGACGCCGCGUGCGGGAUGAAGGCCUUCGGGUUGUAAACCGCUGUCGUAGAGGAGGAAAUGCAGGGGGGUUCUCCCUUCUGUUUGACCUAUUCUAGGAGGAAGGACGGGCUAAGUUCGUGCCAGCAGCCGCCGUAA